GUGCUUGCUUUGGCAGCACAUACACUAAAAUUGGACCAAUGCAGAGAUUAGCAUGGCCCCGGGUCAAGGAUGACUCGCAAAUUCGUGAAGCGUUCUAUUUUGGG
rnacentral:snRNA from 1 species